GACGAACGCUGGCGGCGUGCUUAACACAUGCAAGUCGAACGGAAAGGCCCUGCUUUUGUGGGGUGCUCGAGUUGCGACCGGGUGAGUAACACGUGAGUAACCUGCCCUUGACUUUGGGAUAACUUCAGGAAACUGGGGCUAAUACCGGAUAGGAGCUCCUGCUGCAUGGUGGGGGUUGGAAAGUUUCGGCGGUUGGGGAUGGACUCGCGGCUUAUCAGCUUGUUGGUGGGGUAGUGGCUUACCAAGGCUUUGACGGGUAGCCGGCCUGCGAGGGUGACCGGCCACAUUGGGACUGAGAUACGGCCCAGACUCCUACGGGAGGCAGCAGUGGGGAAUAUUGCACAAUGGGCGGAAGCCUGAUGCAGCAACGCCGCGUGCGGGAUGACGGCCUUCGGGUUGUAAACCGCUUUCGCCUGUGACGAAGCGUGAGUGACGGUAAUGGGUAAAGAAGCACCGGCUAACUACGUG
rnacentral:rRNA from 1 species